CAGGCUCCGGCCGCCCGUCUUUGUAAGGAGACCACUGAGACGGGCGGGCGCGCGGAGCCGCCGCCGCAGCCUCUCUGCUGCCCUGACUUUUAAGAGCUCUCAAUGAACUGUCUGUGAGGAGCCACUGAUCCUGCCUGCAAGGGUUUGCAUUUUUGCACGGCAGAAGCAUCGAUCAGUGUUGAGUGAAGAUCCCAUUUUAUAUGCGAUCUUGACUUUUUUUGGGGUCUUACAUUAUAUUUUUUAUAGAUUUUUGUUAUCAACAUGGUGCUGGGGAAGGUGAAGAAUUUGACAAUAAGCUUCGACUGUCUGAAUGACAGCAAUGUCCCCGUGUAUUCCAGCGGGGAUACUGUCUCAGGAAGGGUGAAUUUAGAAGUUACUGGGGAAAUCAGAGUAAAAUCGCUUAAAAUUCAUGCAAGAGGACAUGCGAAAGUACGCUGGACGGAGUCUAGAAACGCCGGCUCCAAUACUGCCUACACGCAGAACUACACCGAAGAAGUAGAAUAUUUCAACCAUAAAGACAUCUUAAUUGGGCACGAAAGAGAUGAUGAUAAUUCGGAAGAAGGCUUCAACACUAUUCAUUCAGGAAGGCAUGAGUAUGCAUUCAGCUUCGAGCUUCCACAGACACCACUUGCUACCUCAUUCGAAGGCCGACAUGGCAGUGUGCGCUAUUGGGUGAAAGCCGAGUUGCACAGGCCUUGGCUUCUACCAGUAAAGUUAAAGAAGGAAUUUACAGUCUUUGAGCAUAUAGAUAUCAACACUCCUUCAUUACUGUCACCCCAAGCUGGCACAAAAGAAAAGACUCUCUGUUGCUGGUUCUGUACCUCAGGCCCAAUAUCCUUAAGUGCCAAAAUUGAAAGGAAGGGCUAUACCCCAGGUGAAUCAAUUCAGAUAUUUGCUGAGAUUGAGAACUGCUCUUCCCGAAUGGUGGUGCCAAAGGCAGCCAUUUACCAAACACAGGCCUUCUAUGCCAAAGGGAAAAUGAAGGAAGUAAAACAGCUUGUUGCCAACUUGCGUGGGGAAUCCUUAUCAUCUGGAAAGACAGAGACAUGGAAUGGCAAAUUGCUGAAAAUUCCACCAGUUUCUCCCUCUAUCCUAGAUUGUAGUAUAAUUCGUGUGGAAUAUUCUCUAAUGGUAUAUGUGGAUAUUCCUGGAGCUAUGGAUUUAUUUCUUAAUCUGCCACUUGUCAUCGGUACCAUUCCUCUACAUCCAUUUGGUAGCAGAACCUCAAGUGUAAGCAGUCAGUGUAGCAUGAAUAUGAACUGGCUCGGUUUAUCCCUUCCUGAAAGACCUGAAGAACGUGCUGUUCGAAUUGCGUGUAUCUUUUUCCUUCAGCACCACCCAGCUAUGCAGAAGUGGUGACAGAAGAACAAAGGCGAAACAAUCUUGCACCAGUGAAUGCUUGUGAUGACUUUGAGAGAGCACUUCAAGGACCACUGUUUGCAUAUAUACAGGAAUUUCGGUUCUUGCCUCCACCUCUUUAUUCAGAGAUUGAUCCAAAUCCUGAUCAGUCAGCAGACGAUAGGCCAUCCUGCCCCUCUCGUUGAAGGAACACUUGGCUGAAUCAAGUUGAUGUGGGUUCCGAACUCUAUGUCUCUUCCGGCUGAGGACAGAGAAGUAUCUUGGGAGACACGUUUUCAGUGGAAGUGGAAUUGCUUUUGCCCAGAAAAUGGCGAAUACAUGAAAUAAGCAGUGAUGAUGCUUUAGAAGCCUACACAGCAACAUUCUGGGACUGCUCCAACAUGCUUGAAGAUCUAAGCUUUUCUCCUUUAAAACUGGCACAUACUAAGAGCAGUCUUCUUAGCCUAUGGUCAUACGUGUCAAGACACCACGUUGUAAAGAGGGAUAAUUCCUUCUUUUGAUUUGAAAAUUUGCACAUGCUCAAUGCUUACAUUGUGCGGUUCGAUGUCACUACAGCUUUUUUUUUUUUUUUUCCAUUUCUGCCAGACUCUUGAUACUCUUUUAAAACUUGUUUGUGAUCAGCACAACAAGGAACAAAAGAAAGCUUUGAAAAAACUUUAACAUGAGAAAAACGCACUGACCUUUUUUUAUUUAAUAUAGCCUGGACUUGACCUGCGUAUGCACAUGCUCAGAAUCGUCCUCCUAGGCUGACCAUGUAUCACCUCCUCAGCUUGGAUCCUGUUGUGGAUUUAUUUACAAACAUCAAAUGCCUUCAAGCCAAUCCUUUUUGCUGUAUGUCUUGCAGCCUACUGUAGUAGAUACGCAACAGAUACGUGGGGGUAAAAGAUAAGAGGAGGAAGCUAAUAAGACUGUCAAGAUUGUAUACCUUCUUGGUUUCUUUUAAGAAUUUGUUGCCUUUCUACUAUUACAGCAAAGCAGCAUUUUGUUACUGACUGCCUAAAAUCACUUAAUCUCAGGUGAACGCAUCACUUGCCAAACUGUUGGAAUGCUAUUUGUGUUUUGUUGCACUGUUGAGUUUUUUGUUUGUUUGUUUGUUUGUUUAUUUGGUUGGCUCUUUGGAGAGGGAAAUUUGGAAACGGGACAUACACAAAAGUGAUAACCCACCCACAUCCCCUUUUUAUCAUUACAUAAAAGAAGAAACUAGCAGAGCUAAGAAUAGAGUACAGAAAGGCAGUAUGGCAAGCACCAGCAAAGAGUUAAGGGCUGUUGCUCUUGAAAAUUAUUUUUUUUAUUAUUAUUUUAAAAGUAUGGAAAUUUACCAGUCACUGGGGAAAGGAGGGGAAAGUGCAUUUAUUUUUCUAUAGAGUUACUUAAUUACCUCCGAAACACAUAUGUUGGAAAUCAUUUUUGCUGAGGCAAGCAUUUUAAUGAGCAGGAAUAUGUUGAAUAUGUUGAAGUUACAUUAGAGAGCUCAAGUUACACAUUUGCCAUCCUGCUCUAUCUUGGUGGAGUGUGAAAACCCAAGUUUAUUCCAGAAGUGUGUAAUUUCAUAAUUACAAAUACUAGGAUGCUUGUUGGGAUAACAGUUGAAUUUUUAUGUAUGUGUCUUUGUGUGUGUGUGUGUGUGUGUGUGUGUGGUUUUUUAAAUUUAAAUGCUUUUUUUCCAUUACCUACAGAAAGAACAGUUUGUUAAACAUGAGAAAUCACUCACUUUGAGUUAUAUAGAGAAGAUAGGAAAAGUAAUCAUUUAAAGAUAAUUUACGGUUGGCUCAUAAUAAAUAUACCAGCAUUCAUAACAACAUUUAAAACUACAUGUUCCAAGAUACCAAGUGUACUGAUUUUUUUUUUUUUUUAAGAAGGAACUGUUUCUAAUAAAAGUCAGCAUCUCUGAUGUUGCAACAUAUGUGUGAAAUGGGUAGUACAUCUAUCCUACCAUUUAACCCCACAGUUAAUAAAGUGGCUGAAAAUAAUAGUAACUCUGGCUUGGUGCUUGACCUGGUUAAAUACUGUCUUAAAGCUUCAUACAAAACAAAUAGGCUUUUCCAUAAGUGGCCUUUAAGAAAACAUGGAAGACAAUUCAUGUUUGAAAAAUGCUGACAGGGUGAAGAAAGCCCAGUGUAAAAUGAAUCGCGUUUUAAGUGAUUCGGUUAAAGGGUUUGGGCUCCCGUAGCAAACUAAUACUAGAUAAUAAGGAAAUGGGGGUGAAAUAUUUUUUUAUUGUUGUUAAAUCAUUUUGUGAAUGUCCCCCUCAAAAGAAGCUAAUGGAAUAUUUGGCAUUAAGGGCAUUUGGUGGUUUUAUUUUUGUUUGGGGGGAUUGUCAGAAAAUCCCUUUUCUUUUUUUCUUAUGUCUAACAGACUAGGGAACAAUUGUUGAUAUGCAUAGCAUUGGAAUACUGAUCAUCAUAUACUCUUAAAGUAACACAUGAAGCAAGAAUGACCAAUAUUCUGAUCAUUGGCACUGGAUCACAAAUGUGAUAACAUUUUAAAUUUAUAAAACUUUAUUAAAUAAAGUUUUAUUUUCUCCACUAAAGUAUUUCCUUACUCUUAUUUAGAGGCAUUACUUUCUCCUAAAUAUUGGUCAAUUCCUGACAUACGAUGUGAGGUUCACAGUUGUAUUCCAGUAUUCAUGAUAGAUUCCUGAUUUUUCAAUUAGGAAAAGUAAAAUCCAAAAUGUUAGCAAAACAAAGUGCAAUAUUAAAUGUUUGCUUUAUAGAUUAUAUUCUAUGGCUGUUUGUAAUUUUUCUCUAUUUUUUUCUUUUUUUAUUUGGUGCUGAAUAUGUCCUUGUAGGCUCUGUUUUAAGAAAACAAUAUGUGGGAAAUGAUUUAAUUUUUCCUAUUGCUCUUCCUUGUGGAAAAUAAAGUGUUUUGUUUGUUUUGUUUUUCUUUUUUGUAUAA